rnacentral:rRNA from 1 species
CCUACGGGUGGCAGCAGUGAGGAAUAUUGGUCAAUGGGCGGAAGUCUGAACCAGCCAUGCCGCGUGCAGGAAGACGGCUCUAUGAGUUUUAACCUGCUUUUGUACAAGGGUAAACCUGAAUACGUGUAUUCAGCUGAAAGUACUGUACGAAUAAAGAUCGGCUAACUCCGUGCCAGCAGCCGCGGUAAUACGGAGGAUCCAAUCGUUAUCCGGAUUUAUUGGGUUUAAAGGGUGCGUAGGAGGCUUGAUAAGUUAGAGGUGAAAUGUCCGAGCUUAACUCGGGAACUGCCUUUAAUACUGUUGAUCUAGAGUGUAGAUGUGGUAGGCGGAAUGUAUGGUGUAGCGGUGAAAUGCUUAGAUAUCAUACAGAACACCGAGUGCGAAGGCAGCUUACCAAUCUAUAUCUGACGUUGAGGCACGAAAGCGUGGGGAGCAAACAGGAUUAGAUACCCCUGUAGUC